rnacentral:snRNA from 1 species
AGCUUUGCGCAGUGGCAGUCUCAUAGCCAAUGAGGUUUAUCCAAGGCACGAUUACUGCUAAUUAAAAACAAAAUCAUCACACAAAAAUCAGUAACACUUCUGCAUACUAGCAAAGAACUUUCCAAAAAG